rnacentral:tRNA from 1 species
GGGGAUUUAGCUUAGCGGCAUAAAGCACCUGCCUUGUGAGCAGGCGGUUGUGAGUUUGAUCCCUG